rnacentral:rRNA from 1 species
UAGAAAACCGAGAGACAAUAAACCAGUAGCGUUGGUCCCUUGGCACGUCGUUCGAUGAAGACCGUUGCAAAAUGCGAUAAGUGGUGUGAUAUGCAAGUCCAAACUUAUACGUGAACCAUCGAAUUGUUGAACGCACUGCAUCGAGCCUUAUCCAGGAACGAUACGCCCCAUUGAGCGUCAUUACGUCUUCGCGACUUGUUGCUUUUCACAGAGCGACCUGUCCGGGCUCGGGAUUCACGACCCUUGGGUCGCGCUUCCUCAGAUACAUUGGCUGCGCCGGCGUGAACGGUGACCUUGUCAUGAAUGUCGAGGUGUGCCGUGAGCUCUGCACGCAGGAUCCUUCGCAACGUCGAUGGAUCAGACGCGUUCCGGCCUCCGAGCCGGGAUUGCAACUUCUCCACAUGACCUCACGGGGGUGGGACGACCCGCUAGACUUAAGCAUAUUAAUCAGCGGAGGAAAAGAAACUAACAAGGAUUCCCCCAGUAACUGCGAGUGAAGAGGGAUUAGCUCAAUGUGUGAAUCGGGUUGGGAUUAGUUUUGUUGCCUCGGCAGAAG